CUCGGCAGGGCUCCCAAGAGGAAGUGGGUGGACCAUGGGGAGAGAACACAAGCCUAAAUUCAGGGAUGAAAUGAGAAGAGAUCAAGGCCAGCAGAGUAAACCUCUAGAGGUCAGCUAAGGGUGUCCCAGCCAGUGUGAACUGAGGAGAGCAGGCUCAAGUGAAUGACCCAAGUUCCAAGACCCCUGUGAUUGCCUUGGGUUCAGGCUCAGCUUCUGGACUCUCUGGGCCUCCAAGGCAAGGAUCUUCUCACCCUUCCCAGCUGGGUUGCAGGUUACAAUCCAUCAUGGCAAGGACAUCCAGGCAAGAACUUAAAGCAACACAGCCGAAGUCAAGAGCAGAGAGAAUCAACACAUGGGUCCUCCCUGCUUGCCGCUACUUCUGUGCAGCUGUCUUUCUUCACUCUUAUACAGGACUAGAAGAGAAUAAAUGUAUGCUGUUUUCAGCAUGGCAGUUGCAGAAAGCCACAUUUGCUGAGAGCUGUGGAAGGAGCUAGUGCCCUGGCCUGCUUUGUGACCCCAGCUCAGUGGAACGGAUGAGCGGAGUGGUGAUGAGGCUGCUGAUCCAGGGCCUCAGGGAGAUGUGCGUGUGUGCCAAGGAGAAGGAAGACCAUGUCUUCAUGCAUCAGGAAACUUUCCCGGCCAAUGAUCCUCCAAAGGCAUGUCAACAUCUUUCCAGGAAAAAAAAUAACUUAGUCUCUAUAAAAAAAAAAAAAAAAAA